AGUUGCCUGCCUUUUGAGAAACACAUGCACACUCACACACGCGCGCGCACACACACACACACACACACACACACACACACACACACACACAGAGCUAUCAGUACGAAUAACGUUGCUGUGACAUUUGAGAAGUUCCCUAAGUUACAGAAGGUCUUCGGUUCUUUCCUUCAUCACAGAGUCUCCCUAUCUAGCUUAGACCGACCUCAAACGCUCCAUCCUCCUGCCUCAGCGUUACUAGUGUUGGAAUUACAAGUCUGCAAUCUCAAGGCCCUUUGAAAGGGUCAAGGAUCUUCCAGAAAACUCAAUCACUAGGACUUUGGAACACUUUCAGUCUGCCCAGCCUUGGCAACCGGAAGCCAGGUCGUCCGCAGGCUCCUUCCGGGUCCUGAAUCCACAUGGGUUCCCAGUGUCAGCCACUGUCAGCCACUCAAAGCAUAGGCUUGCCUUGAGUUGUGGAGGCUGACAACAGAGGUACCCUCAUGUGUAUUUCCACCUCCCUGGCAGCCUGAGAGUUAAUAGUUGAACACCCACUUUCUAAGCCUGAACUUUGCCCGGCACAGCUGUGGCCGCCUGAUCCCUGGUUCCUAGGUCGUUCUGGAUUGCAACUCCGGAUCCUUGGGGACAGAGGAUGCAAGGAAGAAACCCUGACUGGACCUCACCACUGGCUUCAAAGUGCCACUCUGAUCUUUCCUCAAAGUUCCCAGCGUAAACCUGCCCCAGGAGGCUUCGUGGGUACACAGGCUGGUUUACUUGGACCUCUGCCUCAUCUUUCUUCUCUUCGAUUCAAGCCUGCGCCUUCUCUUCUGGCACUUGUCUUUCGUGGUGUAGGAGUUUCAAGGACGAUAGCACUAAGGCAUUUUUUUUUCUUUUCUUUUUUUCGGAGCUGGGGACCGAACCCAGGGCCUUGCGCUUGCUAGGCAAGCGCUCUACCACUGAGCUAAAUCCCCAACCCUUAUUUAUUUUUAAUAAAACGACUUAUUCACCAAAUGCAUUUUAUUUUUGUGUAUGGUGCCUAGUGCCCGCAGAGGCCAGAAGAGGUCAUCAGACCCCCCUAGCAAUGGAGCUGCAGACAGUUGUGAGCUGUCAUGUAAGUGCUGGGAACGGACCCCGGUCCUCUGGAAGAACAGCCUGUGCUCUUAACUGAAUAACCAUCUGGUCAGCUCUCAUGCCCAUUUCAUUAUCCCUGAUCCUGAUUCUGGCCACAGGCAAUACUGUGCAGAUGCCGGAAAUUACAGAGUUGCCUGCUGUCAAUAGGAAACCCAAUAAUUGUCACAAACGCUAUACAGACGCUUGUAAGCCACCACGUGGGCUCUGGGAACUGAUCCUAGGCCUCCACAAGAGCAGCCAGUGCUCUUAACCACUGAGCCAUCUUUCCAGCCCUGAUUUAUUUUACUUUUAGUUACAUAUGUGUGUGUGUGUGUGUGUGUGUGUGUGUGUGUGUGUGCUAUCUACGGGUGUGUACACAUGAAUUCAGGUGCACAUGAAGACCAGAUUUCUCUGGACCUAGAGUCACACGCAGUUGUGAGCUGCCCUGUGUGGAUAUUGAUAACUAGGAGAACCAGACUUGGAUUCUCUGUAAGGGUAGCAUGCACUAUUAGCUGCUGAGAUGUUUUCCCAGCCCUGAAAACUUUUUUCUUUUUACUUUGCAAUUGCAGUGGACUGUUACAUAUCAAUCACUUCUACAGAUUUUUUCCACUGCCAGGAGUCAAAUUCAUGACAGGAAAAAGUUCCACCACUAAGCUCACCUCACUCUCACAAGCAGGUCGCAUCGAGAUUUGGAGGACUGGUUUGGAACUGUUUCCAUUUCCUCUGAAUAAAAAAGAAAUUGGACUGAUUUGUCUGCUCUGUGUGUGGCAGUCUGUGGACUUUUUGUGCGGGCAGGUGUCUUCCAACUUUGGACAAGUUACACCUUGUUCACAGACUCACGGCCAUGAUCCAGGCGACCGAAAGGAGGCGGGGGAGUCUAUGUGUGCACACUCGGAGGUCAGGGGUCAGGGGUUGAAUCCGGGUUUCUUCCUUUACAGCUCUCUGCCUUCAUUAAAAAAAACAAAAAAAAAAAAAA